GACAGAGGUGGCAAGCGUUGCUCGGAUUCACUGGGCUUAAAGGGCGCGUAGGUGGCCUUGUAAGUCAAAGGUGGAAUUCCACAGCUCAACUGUGGAACUGCCUUUGAUACUGCAAGGCUUGAGUCAGGUAGAGGAGGGCGGAAUUCCCGGUGUAGCGGUGAAAUGCGUAGAUAUCGGGAGGAAGGCCGGUGGCGAAGGCGGCCCUCUGGGCCUGUACUGACACUGAGGCGCGAAAGCGUGGGGAGCAAACAGG
rnacentral:rRNA from 1 species